CCAGUCCUGGGAUUUCCAGGUGUUUACAUUCACUGAGCAGGCAGAACACAGAGAACUCACCAUGGAGUUUGUGCUGGGCUGGGUUUUCCUUGUUGCUCUUUUACAAGGUGUCCAGUGUGAUGUGCAGCUGGUGGAAUCUGGGGGAGACCAGGUGAAGCCUGGGGGGUCCCUGAGACUCUCCUGUGCAGCCUCUGGAUUCACCUUCAAAACUUACUUCAUGAGCUGGGUCCACCAGGCUCCAGGGAAGGGGCUGCAGUGGGUCGCAGGUAUUAGCUAUGAUGGAAGUAGGACAAGCUACGUGGACUCAGUGAAGGGCCGAUUCACCAUCUCCAGAGACAAAAGCAUGAACAUGCUCUAUCUGCAGAUGAACAGCCUGACAGCCGAGGACACAGCCGUGUCUUACUUUUUGAAAGACACAGUGAGGGGACAUCAGUGUGAGCCCAGACACAAACCUCAAACUACAAUGGUAUCAGACCAGCAGAAGGUGCACACUACUUACCAAUUCUGUCCUUAA